rnacentral:rRNA from 1 species
UACAGGGGGUGCAAACGUUGCUCGGAAUUAUUGGGCGUAAAGCGCGCGUAGGCGGCUACUUAAGUCGGAUGUGAAAGCCCCUGGCUCAACUGGGGAAGUGCACCCGAAACUGAGUGGCUUGAGUGCGAAAGAGGGUCGCGGAAUUCCCGGUGUAGAGGUGAAAUUCGUAGAUAUCGGGAGGAACACCAGUGGCGAAGGCGGUUCUCUGGGCCUUACCUGACGCUGAGACGCGAAAGCGUGGGGAGCGAACCGG